rnacentral:misc_RNA from 1 species
ACACCUCAACUCUCAUGGUUUGCCAUGAUGAGCUUGGACUUUGGAGGGUCUUGCUGGCCUGUGGUCAGCUCCUCUCAAAUGAAUCAGCUUGCCAGUGUUUGGUGGCAUCACAGGUGUGAUAAAUAUCUACGCUUGUGGUUUUCUGCCAGGUAACCUUUGGCAACGGAGGUCCGCUGGGGCUCAUAGACGUCUCUCCUUCAGCGAGGACAGCUUUUUGAA